GACGAACGCUGGCGGCGUGCUUAACACAUGCAAGUCGAGCGGUAAGGCCCCUUCGGGGGUACACGAGCGGCGAACGGGUGAGUAACACGUGGGUGACCUGCCCUCAGCUCUGGGAUAAGCCUGGGAAACUGGGUCUAAUACCGGAUAUGACUCCAUGACGCAUGUCGUGGGGUGGAAAGCCUUGUGCGGCUGGGGAUGGGCCCGCGGCCUAUCAGCUUGUUGGUGGGGUGAUGGCCUACCAAGGCGACGACGGGUAGCCGGCCUGAGAGGGCGACCGGCCACACUGGGACUGAGACACGGCCCAGACUCCUACGGGAGGCAGCAGUGGGGAAUCUUGCGCAAUGGGCGAAAGCCUGACGCAGCGACGCCGCGUGAGGGAUGACGGCCUGGUGUAAC
rnacentral:rRNA from 1 species